rnacentral:rRNA from 1 species
UUCCGGUUGAUCCCGCCGGACCUGACUGCUAUCGGAUUGAUACUAAGCCAUGCGAGUCAUUGUAGUAAUACAAGGCAGACGGCUCAGUAACGCGUAGUCAACCUAACCUAUGGACGGGAAUAACCUCGGGAAACUGAGUAUAAUGCCCGAUAGAACACUAUACCUGGAAUGGUUUAUGUUUCAAAUAAUUUAUUGCCGUAGGAUGGGACUGCGGCCUAUCAGUUUGUUGGUGAGGUAAUGGCCCACCAAGACUAUUACAGGUACGGGCUCUGAGAGGAGUAGCCCGGAGAUGGGUACUGAGACACGGACCCAGGCCCUAUGGGGCGCAGCAGGCGAGAAAACUUUGCAAUGUGCGAAAGCACGACAAGGUUAAUCCGAGUGGUUUCUGCUAAAGGAACCUUUUGUCAGUCCUAGAAACACUGGUGAAUAAGGGGUGGGCAAGUUCUGGUGUCAGCCGCCGCGGUAAAACCAGCACCUCAAGUGGUCAGGAUGAUUAUUGGGCCUAAAGCAUCCGUAGCCUGCUUUGUUAGUUUUCGGUUAAAUCCAUACGCUUAACGUAUGGGCUGCCGGGAAUACUGCAAAGCUAGGGAGUGGGAGAGGUAGACGGUACUCGGUAGGAAGGGGUAAAAUCCUUUGACCUAUUGAUGACCACCUGUGGCGAAGGCGGUCUACCAGAACACGUCCGACGGUGAGGGAUGAAAGCUGGGGGAGCAAACCGGAUUAGAUACCCGGGUAGUCCCAGCUGUAAACUAUGCAAACUCGGUGAUGCAUUGGCUUGAUGCCAAUGCAGUGCCGCAGGAAAGCCGUUAAGUUUGCCGCCUGGGAAGUACGUACGCAAGUAUGAAACUUAAGGAAUUGGCGGGGGAGCACCACAAGGGUGAGCCUGCGGUUCAAUUGGAUUCAACGCGGAA